CUUCAGUUUCAACCACCUGUGUUUUAUACUGAAGUAAAUUUUGCUGAUCUUAUGGUCUUGUACUUGAGGCUUUUUUAUUUUUAUUUUAUGCAAGCAGUCAUCCACUGGACCUCCACCAUGGCACCAGACCGGAGGUUUGCGGUUCGGCUGCACACUCUGUGUAAAACAUGAGAAGAGAGGAAGAAGUACAGACACUGGUGACUCCUCAAAGGCAUGGCAACACAAAAACAACACAAAGCUAAGUUCUCCCAGAGCGUUGACGUGACGGUGACACAUUUUUAUUCAUAGUGUUUUAUGUGCUGUUUUCUUUGUGGAACAAAAGAGCUUUUUAUUGUUUGAUUUAAGGGAGAAUUUGGGCGCUCUGAGGUUUUGCAGGAUUGUCAUUUGCAGUACAUGGUGCAUGCAGGCAAGUUGUGGUCGUCAGGUUGAUGAUCCAAAGAUUUGUUUCACAUGUAACCACACACGCACACACGCACGCACGCACACACACACACACACACACACACACACACACAUGGCCAACAAAGACUCCUUUGUUAAGAAUAAAAUAAGUGUGUCACUCUGUAAGGAUCUAAUGGAACCAAUCAUCAUUCCUUUAUUGAAUCCGAUCAUUAAAAUAUAUACUUCGGUUCAUGAGCAACAUCUUGGCAUCACCCGAACUUCUACAUCCAAGUAUAGGUUUAGCAGUCGUUGGCAGCAGCUUGAGCAGUCUUUAUUGGCUUCCAAAAGUGGAAGACAUCCAAACUAGGAGUAUGUGUAUGCUGUAAUUUCCCUGCCACCUGUGUGACUGAGUGCGCUGUGUAGCUGCUGCAGAGCCAAUGGAUCCAGCUGGGCUCUGGUAGAACAAUGCAGUCUGUCUCCUCAUCCACAUGUCCAGUAAAAAGGAGGGGUGUACAAACGACUGUGGAGGAAACCUUAAAUGAUGUUAAUAACAUACCGUUGAAAGGAAGAAAUCAGAGGCAUGCAUGAUGUCAAAUCCCAUCAUUAUGCCACCAUACUGAGGUAAUGGUAGGGAACACUAGAGUAUUGGUCAUGUUAUUGCUAUGAGUCUCUGUGCAACCUACGAGACAGGAAAUGUUACGUUAUAUAAAAUAAAAAUUAAAACCUGAUGAUGGUAAAAAUUCAAGAGACUUUUUGUAGUACAUGUUCAGGACCCUGUUGUUGUCUGGCUGGCUUGUCUGGCAUGCCUUGUUUCUGUUUAUUGAUGUGCAUGGUGCCCGUAGAUCUGUAAAAAUACAACACUUGUCAGAUAAAUUUUUCCCAAACAUACAAUCAUAGCUUCACCAAUGCAAUGUGUUAGUGCCCAGGGAGGUUGUAUUUCCAUGUUUCCACCUCACAAUGGGAGGAGAUGGAGGCAUGGUGUCUGUACACAGCCAAUGGUAAACAAAGAAACAAAGAAAGUUUGACACAAAGAAAAAAAUGCAUCCAGUAGAGGUUUUUGUAUAGACUCAACUUACAACAAAUGUUAUCUCAAGACACUUGGCAAAAAGAGCAGGUCUAGACCAUACUCUACUUACAAAGAGCCAACAUCAGGAUGGGACAAGACUGAGCCUCAACUUGUAGGAUCAGACCAUCUCUAAUUUCAUCUUAAUCCACCAAAAGAGAAACACUUAGCAGCGUUUAGUAAGUUAAAGUGAUGAGGAAAAACUUCCUUUCAACAGGCAGAAACCUUGAGCAGAACCCGCCUCAUGUUAGACAGCCAUCUGCCGCUGCUGUGUUGGAAUUGGAAAAGGGAUGGAGGGGGAUGCAGAGAGCAUAAGGGUGUUGUCUGUAUUCUGGUGCUUCAAGGCCUUUCUUUUUAACUAUAGAAGUUCCUUCAGUAACACUAAAGCUUAGACUGCCUCCCCAUUCCAUCACAAACGUCUUCACAAAAUCGAUUCAGGUAGUUUCUCUCUGAUCAGCCCUGACAGAAGUAUCUCACACCAGAUUAGACGUCUAGAGUCCUAUUCAAGCUAAAAAAGUAUAAACCUUUGGGGUUUCUUUGUUACCUUUAAUGAGAGGAAAACAGACUUCUUCAGAUUUUACUGAGUGAUAUAUAAAACAGAAGCUUUCACUGCUCUUUAUGCAUGUGUUCCACUGAACAAUGAAAUCUUUAUACUCCGGAGCAUUGCCUCUAAAAGUGGUACAAAGCAGGACACAGUUUCACGCUGUAACGGCAUUUAUGAGCUGAUUGUUCAAUGACUUAAGGGUUGCCUUAUUUGGGUGAUGAUGUGAGAUGCAUGUUAAGGCUUCAGCUGUUUAGAUUCAACAUAAAGACUCCCUGCUUUUCCAUUAUUUAUGGUGGAAUAUUGUAUCUGGAGAGUGUAAUUGGAGAGUGAAAGAUGCGGUAUUUUAACGUAACUGACAUUUAGUCUGGUACAAUGUUUAUUCUAAGGAAUAUAAAACUUAAGUGGUAAUAUUGGUUCAUUUUCUGACGUUUUCUUUCCAAAGUUUAAGGCAUGAAUCAUUUGUAUAUUUUCAAUUAUGUGGACUCAGUGAAUUUUUUGUUCUCUAAUUUACUGCUGCUGUGGUUACAAAUACCCAGUGGAGGUUCAAGAAUCUAAUAAAACAUCAUAAAACAACAUGAAACAAAAAAUGAAUCAUCUGAUCUGUGUUUUAUGUACAUCCAUAGUUUUAUAUUCAUUGUUUGACUUCUCUCUCUUUUAGAUCGCCCCUUUCACUUAUCGCAGAAAUGAUUGUUUUACUGACAGAUUUAAUGUGCAGAAUAACAGAGACAACCAGUUAAUGUGAUGUUUUAAGAUCUCAGUGUUAUUCUGCCUGUUACAGAUAGUUCCCUGUUGUACAAGGAAGGAUGUUUGAAACUGUCAUGAAUUAACUUUGUUGCUAAAUCAAAUGCAUCAUAUCAGACAGUCAUGAAUCAGAAACAUUACAGCAUAGUAACACAGUUGAAUCCACAGAGAUAAUGAAAGUCAUCUAUGCAGUUAGCAUGCUAACUGACUGUGCAAAUAGGCGAUAGAUAAAUCAGUAUCUUCACACACUACAAACUACACAUGAAACCAUAUUUUUUUUGUACAUUUAUCCAUUAAUCAUAUAAGUUCAUCCAUCACACUUCUACUCUUAGCUGCUGUGACUGAGCUAGCGCAUCCAUCUGACCAUUUUGAACAGAAUUAAACACCAUUAUAUUUACAGCAGUUUGACAAAGACAUGGUUGUUUGAGUAUAUAUAUAUUUUUUUAUAUAAAAUGUGUUACUUAUAUUUUAGCUCAACUUUGCAAAAUUUAGUAAAACACUGUUUCAUUUGCUUGCAGUUUAUCACUUGGUUUGGCACCUACCCUCCUGGCAGCAUUUUCAAGCAUUAAAAAUGACAGUAUAAAUUUAAAUUUUUUUAUGCGUAUGGUUUUAUUGCCCUCUUAUAAUUUAUGUAGGGCAUCAGUAUCAAUUUUGGUCAGUUUUAUGAGCAGCUAAAAACUUCUCACAGUAGCUUUAACAUGCUGAAAUUACUCUGACAAUCCCUCAAAGGUGAAGUGCUAUUUUAGCUACGGACAGCAGUUUCCUGUCUUUGUACAAAGAUUCAACCUAACUAAGCCUUUCCUGCUUUUUGACCUCACAUUUGGUGAAAACUUAUCAGUUAAUGUAACAUUGAUUUUUUCAUCUUUGGAGAAGACCAUGAAAACAUGCUGUUUUUAUUUUAUUUAUAUAUAUAUAUAUAAACUACCUUUUAUUUUGACUCCAAUUCAAUUGGCCUGACAUGUAAAAUGAUAGACAAAAGCUUUUUACCAUGUGCUAGUGUUUGGUAUUAAAACAAUUAUUGUCAGUAAAUGAUUACUUAGUAAACUGGUGAGGUUUUUUCCCCCAAAGUUAGAUCUGUAUCAUGACUUGAAAGUAGACUCUGGCACUCAUUUUUAAACAGAGAAUCAAAGGCAGAGGUUUCACUUCUGUGUGAAGUUGAUACCUAAAUUACUCUGUCUGCAAAGUUUUUGGCGAAGCUAGAAUACUACAUUCAGAACAAUUGUGACAGAUACAUGAAAGGAAGAAACCGUCAAAAUGAGUUUCACAUUCGAUGCUGCUUUUAACUCAUAUCUUGUUGGAUGUCACUUCGGCCUUCUUCAAACCAAACUCCACCAUUACAGGAAAAAGACUCGCUCUCAUCUGAGUCUUAGUUCUCUCUCCUUAGGAUGGUACUAACCUCCCAUAUGGAAGACAUCAUGCUGUUAGAGAGCACUAAUAACAGUGUGGCUAUGGGUUUAAUAAAAAGGAAUGGAACGAAUUAUGGCCCCAUCCCAGCCAGGACCAUCAUGUAACUGCAGCACAUUAGCAUGGCCCCGGCAGCCGGUCCAGACCAGCAGAGAGCGGGAGAGAAAGGAGAAGCAUGUGACUGAGAAGAGCCCAGUAGACUCUGAGGGUUUGAUGCUACAGUGAAGAGGGAGAACACACAGAGAGAUAUAAAAGAGAGAGCGUUAGCCUGUGGGUAUUACAGAGACAGACUGCUCGCGGUAAUGGCACGUCAACGGCAGUUUGACAAAGACUGUUGAGCUGAGAUUUGAUUAAAAUAGAAGUAAGAGUAUGUAAUGCUCAGCUAAAUAAGCAAAUAAUGGGAAAGUAAAAUCUCUGGAGAUUAAAUAAGAGGAAAACAGGAAGAUGUAGAGCUGCAGGAAUGUAAAACUGGAGACAAGAGAUAUUAUACAGAAGGCGGGUUAUUAACUAGUGGAAUAAGUGAUUGAUAAAGUCAGAGACUUGGUAUAAUCAUCAAAAAGACUACAGGACUGCACUGCUGGUUGCUUUUAUAUAAAAUCCUUUAAAGUCUUUUCAAGCAGCUGAUCAGAGUUUAGGAUUUGGAUCUCCUGAAGAGGCAGGGAAAUGGUCACACAACGAGGUCUCCAGAAGAACCAAAAUACAAGGUCUGUGACUUUUUUUAAUGACUUAGGGUAACAGAUAUCACGCUCUCUGUUCAAUUAAACACUUCUUUGACACUUCUAUCAUCUAACUUUAUUCCAUUUGACAAAGCUGUCUCGACACUGGCAGGAGCCUCACCCUUACAUUUGACCUCUUGUAAAGGUCUCAACCCUAAAACUCAGACCACCUUUGAGUGUCGCUCAAAUGAUCACCUCUUAAUUGCCUGCUGUCUAUUUAUACUGAAGUUAAGAGUCAAUUGAGCUCAAUUAAGAGGACACAAGUGUAGACAUUGUGGGUGAGAAGGGGUGCUGUUGGUGGCUCUGUGGGUGGGUGGGCCUGUCCCUAACCCUUGUUUCAGCAUGCAGGGACAUGUCAGGGGCAGGAGAUGACAGGUUAAUCCAGACCUACAGCAAUGCAGGGAAUCCUGGUGGCUCCAUCAGGACAAGCGCACUGUCUAAUAUAAGGUAUAAUAUCCUCUACAGCUGACCUUUAUCUCCCCGUUUCUGCCUCUGUCUUGGAAGACAGCCAGUGUGUGACCGAGGUCUGCCUUGGAAAUUUGACAUUUCGUCUCCUUCACCCGUCUCGCUGCGACUUGAUACAGACCUCCACACCAACUC